rnacentral:lncRNA from 1 species
AGGUCCAACAACAUUUUAUUCUGCAACUUUAUUUUCUACAGUUCCUUUUUAAAUCAGAGAGAAGAGGUAUUCCCUUAUUGAGACUUGUAAAGUCAUAGAGUGUCUGGAGAUUUACUGCCUCCAUUACGCUGCUGGAUCUCACGACACUUGUUAUGUUUUCAUUAUUUUCUCUGCAGAAGGCAGCUAGCUGAACCACUGAGCUAAAUCCCCGGCCCAAAAAGUAAGAACUGUUUUUGUUUUUGUUUUUGUUUUUGUUUGGUACCAGGGAUCAAACUCGGGACCAUGAACUUUCAAGGUAGGCAGUAGAACCACUAAGCUAAAUCCCCGACCCUGUCGUAGGUUUCUGACCUUGGGAACUGUAUCUAGUCCUUGGCCCCUUUAUUUCUGGCUCCUUCCAUGCUCUCUGCUUUCCUGAUGCCAUGAACUGAGCAGCUUUCUUCCAUCAUGCCCUUCCAUCAUACUCUUUCUGCUUUGGAGCAAGCUAACAAUGGACGGAAACCUCUGAAACCAUGAGCCAGUAUAAACCUUUUCUCCUUUAAGCUGUAUAUACCAGGCAUUUUUUUCCCCACCAAGAGAGGUUACUAAUUAAAAUAGAGUAUAUGUUCAGUGAAUGACUGAACUUAUCCAAUAUGUAGCUGUUGCAACUUUGUGCAGGAUCCAGACGAUGAUGCAAGAAGGGCUGUAUCAUCUAAUAAGACAUUGGGAGCUAACUGUGCCUUUUUUUUUUUUUUUUUUUUUGGUACUGGGUAUCGAACUCAGGUCCUUGCGCUUGCGCAGAAGGCGGCGAAACCACUGAGCUAAAUCCCCGGCCCCAACUGUGCUUAUUUUUAGUGUAUGUGCUGCC